rnacentral:rRNA from 1 species
AUGUCGGCGCCGACGGAACGUCCAUGCCAAUCCGGGUGGCCGAACCUACGGAGAGGUCUCCUGCGCAAAGUCCUCUCCCGGCUCCCGUCCCUCGCCGACCGCGUCCGCCUCCGCGCCGUCUGCCGCCCGUGGCGCACGCGCGCCACGCUCCAGCCUCCGCCCCGUCGCCCGCUCCCCUGGCUCGCCCUCCCGGGCGGCACCGUCUUGGACUUCGCCAACAAGAGCACGCACCGUCUGCGUAUUCCAGACGACCACCACGGCCCCUGCUACAGCGCCGGCGACAAUAUGUUCUUCCUCCACCACAACGACGGGCGGUGCUCCGUGGUCAACGGAUUCUCUGGCGCCGCGACGCCUCUCCCCGAGCUGGCUGCUCUCCUGCAGUCUCACAUGGUAAACCCCUGCGACGAGAAGAAGUCUGACAAGUUCGACCGCAAGUCGUAUGACAAUAUGAAGAUCAAGAAGGUGGUGAUGUCCUCCGUGGCAUCCAUACCGAAUCAUCAUCGCGUUGUGGCCGUUCUAGCCAGCAACUGCUCUAAAUCCAGAGUCUUCAUUUCUACAUGCCGACCGGCCGGCGAGAUCAACUCGUGCGUUGUGAUGCGGGAGAGAUCCACCAUCCUGGACAUCGCCUUUUUUCAAGGGAAGAUGUACGCUAAUGUCCACAUGUUCCAGGAGCUUGUCGCCGUCGAUCUCGGAGACGGCUGCCUCGACAAGCCAACGCCGCCCGGCGUCGAACCCCAAGUGAAAGCAUACACAUCAUGGAUAUGGCCCCCUGACCUACUACCGGAUAUGUAUCUUAAGGAUCUUUUCGACGACCCUAAGUCAGACGAGAAAGUCGAGCAAUAUCUUGUGGAAUCCAAUGGCAAGCUGCUGAUGGUGAGGAGACGUUUCCUCCAAACUGGCCAUAACAAAUUGACUUGUCGAUUCCAGGUGUUCGAGGCGGACCUCAGGGAUGGUCCCCGUCUUGGCCAGUGGAAGAAGGCCCGCACUCUCCAGGGCUGGGCGCUCUUUGUGGGCACGCCGUGCUCCAAGUCUUUUCGUGCUUGUGAUGUUGAUGGAGCCCGAGGAGAUUGUAUCUACUUCUUGGUCGAUCAUGGCAAUCCCCUUCGCCACUCUGCCGUCUACAACAUGGUAAACAAGACCAUCAUGCCUUUGAUACCAGUACCAAAACACUAUGUACAUCGGCGGAGCACACAUGCACAACUCGUUUGCUCCAUGAUCCAUCUCGUCCCGCACAGUCUCGCCACUGACUCGCGAAGAGCUCCACUUCAGGGCCACGUGCGCAGCCGGAGACAGCGCCGUGCAGGGAGGAACGAGAACGCGGCUGAGCUUCGUUCACCACUAAUCCGUUGCCGCCAAUGUUGUUGCAUGCAUCUGCAUGAACGGCGGGCCGGCUGGCUACUGCUCGUCUAG